CUGAACAGCCCAGACAAAUAUUGCUACCAACAUGGCACUUCGAAACAGACCACCGCAGUGAGUAAAAGUUAUUUUCCUUUAUUAAAUGUUGACGUUUUUGGGCUGUCUCCUCAGACACAAGCCAUCAGUAUCCCUGCUCUUUGCACCUUGACAUGCAUGUCGCUGCUGUUUGUUAACCUAGCUUUGCUGAUUUGUAUCUUGUGGUGUGUGUGUUUUUCUUAACAGGUGUUAGAUGACUGACAAGAUCUAUGGGGGGGCCCCCUUUGGGCCCCCCCAUAACAACUUAGUCUUCAAAGGAAUCUAGUGCCAUGGGACUCCAGUGUCUUCAAAACAUCCUCGGAAUACAUGUGUAUGAAUGGUGAUUAGUCACACUGGGUGUGUGCUAAAGUUUUGUUCCAUUUUUCACUAGUUGGUUAAGGUUUGGUAGAAUUGUUUGGAUGCUAGCGACGUGAUGGCGUAUGUACAAGAGCCUACCGUGGCCAGGCCACAGUUGCGACGGUCACGGCCAGAUGGCCUAGUGUGAGUGCAACCUUGAUUGCAUUUGUAUGCUGUUUACCAUUGGAUGUUUAUGCAAUUUGGCUUAAUUCAUCCGCAGUAAAGCUGCAUUUGACUAUUCCAGGGUCGUUUUGUACAGGCUUUCAAUUGACCAUGUUGACUAGUUUGUGGGAUUUU